GGGUGCCGGCCCGUGCGACGGCAGCCUGGAGAUGGCCCGGCGGCGUCGGGGAAGGAAGAGGGCCGGGGCACCAGCGGCGCGGCAGGAGGCGACACGGCGGCGCUCGGCGCUUGGCGCCGCGGCCUGGCCGGUGACCGAUCGCGAUGGCGCGGCCUGAGAGGCGGCGCGCGUGGAGGUGGCCACGCGAGGAGGCGGCGCUCCACACGGCGCGGCGGCGUCCCCGUGCCGGUGAAGACGGCGACGGCGACAACUUCGGCAACGGGGUUGGAGGUGGCGCCCGCGCUCGAAGGUGGCACUCGUGCGUUCGGCUUGGCCGGGCGCGAGGAUGGCACUCGCGCGGGGCCGAUCUGGCCGUGCGUGGUGGCGGCCGAGACGGGGCGAGGAGGUGAAGCCGACGAGCUGCUCCGAAGGGCGGCGCCGAGGCAGUGGCGGCGGUGGGUGUUGGCCCAGGAGAGGAGCAGAGGUGGCGAUGAUUGGAGGGGGCGAAUGGUGGGGGAUAGCGGGCAUGGCCACGGUUUUGCUUGGUUGCGGAUGGCUUCUAGGAGAAGGAUCGACACAGUGGUGGAAGGGUGA
rnacentral:lncRNA from 1 species